CCUACGGGAGGCUGCAGUGAGGAAUAUUGGUCAAUGGACGAGAGUCUGAACCAGCCAAGUAGCGUGAAGGAUGACUGCCCUAUGGGUUGUAAACUUCUUUUAUAUGGGAAUAAAAUGUUCCACGUGUGGCUUUUUGUAUGUACCAUAUGAAUAAGGAUCGGCUAACUCCGUGCCAGCAGCCGCGGUAAUACGGAGGAUCCGAGCGUUAUCCGGAUUUAUUGGGUUUAAAGGGAGCGUAGGUGGGUUGUUAAGUCAGUUGUGAAAGUUUGCGGCUCAACCGUAAAAUUGCAGUUGAAACUGGCAGUCUUGAGUACAGUAGAGGUGGGCGGAAUUCGUGGUGUAGCGGUGAAAUGCUUAGAUAUCACGAAGAACUCCGAUUGCGAAGGCAGCUCACUGAACUGCAACUGACACUGAGGCUCGAAAGUGUGGGUAUCAAACAGGAUUAGAUACCCGAGUAGUC
rnacentral:rRNA from 1 species